rnacentral:tRNA from 1 species
GCCUUCGUGGUGUAGUGGUCAGCACGCCUGGUCGUGUAUUCCAGAUGUCAGUGGUUCGAAUCCCGGCGAAGUCA